rnacentral:rRNA from 1 species
GACGAACGCUGGCGGCGUGCUUAACACAUGCAAGUCGAACGGAAAGGCCCUGCUUUUGUGGGGUGCUCGAGUGGCGAACGGGUGAGUAGCACGUGAGUAACCUGCCCUUGACUUUGGGAUAACUUCAGGAAACUGGGGCUAAUACCGGAUAGGAGCUCCUGCUGCAUGGUGGGGGUUGGAAAGUUUCGGCGGUUGGGGAUGGACUCGCGGCUUAUCAGCUUGUUGGUGGGGUAGUGGCUUACCAAGGCUUUGACGGGUAGCCGGCCUGAGAGGGUGACCGGCCACAUUGGGACUGAGAUACGGCCCAGACUCCUACGGGAGGCAGCAGUGGGGAAUAUUGCACAAUGGGCGGAAGCCUGAUGCAGCAACGCCGCGUGCGGGAUGACGGCCGUCGGGUUGUAAACCGCUUUCGCCUGUUACGAAGCGUGAGUGACGGUAAUGGGUAAAGAAGCACCGGCUAACUACGUG